rnacentral:rRNA from 1 species
AGUCGAGCGGACAGAAGGGAGCUUGCUCCCGGAUGUUAGCGGCGGACGGGUGAGUAACACGUGGGUAACCUGCCUGUAAGACUGGGAUAACUCCGGGAAACCGGAGCUAAUACCGGAUAGUUCCUUGAACCGCAUGGUUCAAGGAUGAAAGACGGUUUCGGCUGUCACUUACAGAUGGACCCGCGGCGCAUUAGCUAGUUGGUGGGGUAAUGGCUCACCAAGGCGACGAUGCGUAGCCGACCUGAGAGGGUGAUCGGCCACACUGGGACUGAGACACGGCCCAGACUCCUACGGGAGGCAGCAGUAGGGAAUCUUCCGCAAUGGACGAAAGUCUGACGGAGCAACGCCGCGUGAGUGAUGAAGGUUUUCGGAUCGUAAAGCUCUGUUGUUAGGGAAGAACAAGUGCGAGAGUAACUGCUCGCACCUUGACGGUACCUAACCAGAAAGCCACGGCUAACUACGUGCCAGCAGCCGCGGUAAUACGUAGGUGGCAAGCGUUGUCCGGAAUUAUUGGGCGUAAAGGGCUCGCAGGCGGUUUCUUAAGUCUGAUGUGAAAGCCCCCGGCUCAACCGGGGAGGGUCAUUGGAAACUGGGAAACUUGAGUGCAGAAGAGGAGAGUGGAAUUCCACGUGUAGCGGUGAAAUGCGUAGAGAUGUGGAGGAACACCAGUGGCGAAGGCGACUCUCUGGUCUGUAACUGACGCUGAGGAGCGAAAGCGUGGGGAGCGAACAGGAUUAGAUACCCUGGUAGUCCACGCCGUAAACGAUGAGUGCUAAGUGUUAGGGGGUUUCCGCCCCUUAGUGCUGCAGCUAACGCAUUAAGCACUCCGCCUGGGGAGUACGGUCGCAAGACUGAAACUCAAAGGAAUUGACGGGGGCCCGCACAAGCGGUGGAGCAUGUGGUUUAAUUCGAAGCAACGCGAAGAACCUUACCAGGUCUUGACAUCCUCUGACAACCCUAGAGAUAGGGCUUUCCCUUCGGGGACAGAGUGACAGGUGGUGCAUGGUUGUCGUCAGCUCGUGUCGUGAGAUGUUGGGUUAAGUCCCGCAACGAGCGCAACCCUUGAUCUUAGUUGCCAGCAUUUAGUUGGGCACUCUAAGGUGACUGCCGGUGACAAACCGGAGGAAGGUGGGGAUGACGUCAAAUCAUCAUGCCCCUUAUGACCUGGGCUACACACGUGCUACAAUGGACAGAACAAAGGGCUGCGAGACCGCAAGGUUUAGCCAAUCCCAUAAAUCUGUUCUCAGUUCGGAUCGCAGUCUGCAACUCGACUGCGUGAAG